GGGGCAGCCGGCGAGACACGUCAUAGCGUCCGUACGGAGCGCGCAUGCGCGCUUUUCUUGCUAUGGGGAAAGUCCCCGGGCCAGUCGGCCGUAAGGGUCAGGAGGCGAUCUCCGCCGGCUCAUGAAUGCGCUGCGGGAGAGGAGCAUCUUCUCUCCCCCCUGUGACCUCUGGGAGAAGGGGCAGCAGCGCUCCUGGGUUUCUAGCCGUUGGAGAGCAUUCCGAGCUCUCCGCCUAUCAGGAGUGAGCUUAUGUGUUUGGUCUCGUCAGGGAGACUAACUGAAUGGGGCUUACGUCCGAGCUGCCC
rnacentral:RNase_MRP_RNA from 1 species